rnacentral:lncRNA from 1 species
UAAAUUGGUAAAAGAAAAAAAUCAGGGGUAAGUAAUCACUUAGGCAAUGUAGCUGGACCCUAUAAGUAAUGGCCAAUAAAGAUAUAAGUAUGAUAUAUUAUACUAUUUGAAAUACAAAAUAACAUAUGAUUUUGAUGUUAAGACAAAUCAAGAUGGUUAAAAACAUUAAUUGGACUUCCGUACAUAUGAAAGACAAAUAAAGUAGAGAAAUUUACCAUAAUUUGAGGGAGGAAAAACAUAAACCUCUUGUGAUUAGAGACUCGUGCUGAUAAUGUGCUAAAUGAUAAUAGGUAACAAGUAACUCAACAAUGUAAUAUGAUGAACAGAGUCUAUACCCACCCAAAAAAAAGGGGUGAAGAGAGAACAAAGCAGAGACACAAUAUAGAAUGGUCCUUUAUGUUCCACUCAAAUGUGUAAAAUAUGGAGCAGAGCCUCCUUUUAAAGUGAUACAACUAUCAAGUGGUGAGUAGUAGAUCAUACAUACAAGAGACAAUAAUUCUUAAAUUAGGGAGAUAAUGGGACUAUGGGAGUUAUAGGAAGCUUAAAGGUUAGGGAAAUAAAAAGUUUGCUUGAUGAAUUUUGUAUUUUCAUAACAACUUAUUUAUUGUUUCUUUACAACAAAAUAAUAUGAAAACAAAUAAGUGUAAAAUAUGGAGCAGAGCCUCCUUUUAAAGUGAUACAACUAUCAAGUGGUGAGUAGUAGAUCAUACAUACAAGAGACAAUAAUUCUUAAAUUAGGGAGAUAAUGGGACUAUGGGAGUUAUAGGAAGCUUAAAGGUUAGGGAAAUAAAAAGUUUGCUUGAUGAAUUUUGUAUUUUCAUAACAACUUAUUUAUUGUUUCUUUACAACAAAAUAAUAUGAAAACAAAUAACAACUUAGAAUAACACCCAAAAAACGAAAAAAAAAAAAAAAACACCAAACUCUCUCAUUUGUUUAAAACCAUAAAAUUAAAUUACACUUUGUAUAUGCC